rnacentral:rRNA from 1 species
GACGAACGCUGGCGGCGUGCUUAACACAUGCAAGUCGAACGGAAAGGCCCUGCUUUUGUGGGGUGCUCGAGUGGCGAACAGGUGAGUAACACGUGAGUAACCUGCCCUUGACUUUGGGAUAACUUCAGGAAACUGGGGCUAAUACCGGAUAGGAGCUCCUGCUGCAUGGUGGGGGUUGGAAAUUUUCGGCGGUUGGGGAUGGACUCGCGGCUUAUCAGCUUGUUGGUGGGGUAGUGGCUUACCAAGGCUUUGACGGGUAGCCGGCCUGAGAGGGUGACCGGCCACAUUGGGACUGAGAUACGGCCCAGACUCCUACGGGAGGCAGCAGUGGGGAAUAUUGCACAAUGGGCGGAAGCCUGAUGCAGCAACGCCGCGUGCGGGAUGACGGCCUUCGGGUUGUAAACCGCUUUCGCCUGUGACGAAGCGUGAGUGACGGUAAUGGGUAAAGAAGCACCGGCUAACUACGUG